rnacentral:misc_RNA from 1 species
UUGGAAGAUGCAUUAGCUGAUGUAAAGAAACUCUCUUCUCAACGGCAGAUAAUGUUAACUAAGCUCCAUAGAUGCUUUCUACAAUCAGAGGAAUAUGCCGAAAGGGUCAAAAACUCCGAACAAGACCUCAAGUUACUCGUUGAUGCGACGAUGGCUGAAGUUGAAGGGGCUGGGGAUGUGAACACUAGACAUGGUUUGGUUUACGCCAAUGGUCUGGUUUGAAAAUUUUCG